rnacentral:rRNA from 1 species
UACGUAGGGUGGGAGCGUUAAUCGGAAUUACUGGGCGUAAAGCGGGCGUAGGCGGUUCGCAAAGUCUGAUGUGAAAGCCCCGGGCUCAACCUGGGAACUGCAUUGGAAACUAACGGGCUCGAGUGUGGCAGAGGGGGGUGGAAUUCCACGUGUAGCAGUGAAAUGCGUAGAGAUGUGGAGGAACACCGAUGGCGAAGGCAGCCCCCUGGGCUAACACUGACGCUCAGGCACGAAAGCGUGGGGAGCAAACAGG